GCUCAGAGCUCUCCUUACCCUGGCAACCCCCACUUACCCAAGGCGCUCCAGGGGUCAGGUGGGAGGGGAGGGGAGAGAAUCAGAGAGAGGCAAAGAAGGACCGGGACUGAGACCUUUCCUUCUUGGGUGACUUUUCUUUUUUAUUAGAGAGGCUGGAGGGUGUGGAGAAAACCGAGGGGGGACAGUAGCUGAGUGACACUGUGAGAGAAUGUGAAGGAUUUUUCUGACCCGUGUAGUCCAGCAGCUGUGGACACAUCCACAGUGAGUCAGUGUGGGGAGUGUGGGGGUGUCCCUUUGACUAUAUUUUAGGUGGUCUGGGUGUGAGUGUCUGCCUUUUACUAUGCAUGUAAAGAAGAUGCCAGGGAGCCCGUGUGUGGUAUUGGUGGGCAUGGCUAAGUGUGAAUGAGUAUGCUGUGCUUGCAGUUGUGAAAGGGGCAUAGAGCCAGCCAGUUCUGAGUAGGGGGUAGGGAGGUAGGAAGGAGUGUUUAAAUGAGUCCCAAACCCAUCUGCUGGCGAAACCAUCCAGAUAUCCCAGUAUGUAUGUGCAUGUGUGUGUGUGUGCUGUUUCUGCAAAGAUGUGUGUACACACAUCUCAAGAUUGUGCUUGUGUGUGUGUGGAGGUGUGGGAAAUUGAAACGGUGCAGAGCAUGCCUCUGAGUAUCCUUGAGCGUCCUGGUCUCUGCGUGGGCUAGCCUGUGCUCCCGCCUCUGGGGGUCAGGGUUGUGGCAGAGCUAGGGGAUCGGCCCUUGGUUUGGACCAAGUCUAAGAACUGCUGCAAGGCAGGAGAGGCCUUGAGGUGUUGGGUGAGGGGGGUAGAGAGAAGAGGGCAGGCUGGGACCGGGGCCGUGGUAGGAGAGCUGCAGAGACCCUCCUCUUGGUUUUUGCUCCAAUUCGGGCCCUCUUUCCUGACUCCCUUCUUUGCCCCACUGGCCGGGGUGCAGAGACGGGCUGCCAUGGGGCUCUCCGGAGCCAGUUCCGGGGCGGGGCCCAGAGGAGGAAGGGUGUUGAGCCCAGAGGCGGUCAGGACCUGGGGCAGCUCCCAUCACCCGGCGGGGCGGGCCUGGCCCCGCCCGGCGGGGAAACGGGGACUCUCUGGAGGAGAGACUGGAUGCUUCGCCGAGGGUUGGGCCAGGAUUGCUGAGAGUCAGCCCCAGGGAGCGUAAAGGGACUGCAUCUGUCACUGAAGAUCGGGACGGGAGGCUCUGGGACAGGAAGGUCCUGACAGGCUCGCGGGUGAGCUCCGCGCUGGACUUGGCCAUGGCGGCCGUUGCUGCCGGUGUUGCUGCAGAGGAGCCGCUGCCGCCGCUGCCGCCGCCGGGGAGCCGCGGCACAUGCUAGACCCGGCUCCGGCAGGGCCCCGGCGCUGAGCGCUGCAGCAGCCGCGGAGCCCGCUCCUGUCAGGGGCGGCUGCGCGAGCGCUCCUCCCCCCGCCUCGGAGCGCCGGGUCUCCCGCCCCUCCCGGAGAGGUGCCAGACUGAGCAUGCGCGCCGCGCCUCGGAGCCGCGUGAGACCCCGCGCGCGCUCGCGCCCACCCCUCCCGCCGGCCCCCGCGUGCGACGCCCUGUGCUUGUCUCCUGGAGCCCGGGUCAUCUCCCAGGCGGGGGGCAGGGUCCCCACUUUUCGUGUCACCCCACUCCUCGGGCACUGUGAGCAGAACCCAUUUCUUUUGUUUGUAGCUCUGUGUACCCCUUGCCGGGUCAUUCUUGCAAGGCUCCUCCCUUUUCAUUUCUUGCUCGGGACCCGUCCAGGUUGUCCUUGCUGAACCGCGAAGGAAGGAACUCGCGGCUGAGGGCAAUGUUGGGAGAGGACCUGGCCGGAUCUAGAGCAGUUUAUCCUUCUUUUCCCGCUUGCCCAGCCUUGGGGAUCCCUGCGGCGUCCUUGGCACCGUCCCCGCGGGUGUGCGGCCGAGAGUAGCACCUGGGAAUUCCCGCGCCACCUCCUCCCUGCUGGCAGCUCUGCAAACACCUCCAUCCCCAUCCCGGAGCCUUACGCUCAGGUCCUGGAGACAGGGAGGAAGGCUAAGGGGAUGCAGACUUGGGAUCCAGGAGAACCUUAAGGGCAUCCCGUCCACUCAAAUUUAGGCUCUCUGCUUGGCUAACACACCUAUGCACCCUACGCUGAAAAAUGAACAUUGAUUCAAA